GAGAUAGAUCUUUCCCUUCGGGGACAAAGUGACAGGUGGUGCAUGGUUGUCGUCAGCUCGUGUCGUGAGAUGUUGGGUUAAGUCCCGCAAUGAGCGCAACCCUUAUUACUAGUUGCCAGCAUUUAGUUGGGCACUCUAGUGAGACUGCCGGUGACAAACCGGAGGAAGGUGGGGACGACGUCAAAUCAUCAUGCCCCUUAUGACCUGGGCUACACACGUGCUACAAUGGAUGGUACAACGAGUUGCGAGACCGCGAGGUUUAGCUAAUCUCUUAAAACCAUUCUCAGUUCGGAUUGUAGGCUGCAACUCGCCUACAUGAAGCCGGAAUCGCUAGUAAUCGCGGAUCAGCAUGCCGCGGUGAAUACGUUCCCGGGUCUUGUACACACCG
rnacentral:rRNA from 2 species